AGAUUUGCACAGUGGCAGUAUCGUAGCCAAUGAGGUUUAUCCAAGGCGCAAUUAUUGCUAAUUGAAAAGUUUUCUUUCCAUCU
rnacentral:snRNA from 1 species